AUGCCUUCGACGGUGACGUUUUUGGGGAGGGAGGUGUCGGAGAUUAGCGUUUCGACUAUGCCGGCGUCAGAGAUGGGUGAGAUGGUGCGGUUACGGCAUCGGUGUUUAUUGUUGUUUGCUUCUGUAAUGAUGGACAAAGUUGAAGCUUGGAUGAAGAUUGUUGCUAAUUUUUGGAGAGUUUUGUUACUGAAGGUGAUGGGUUAUGUCUAG